rnacentral:snRNA from 1 species
AGCUUUGCACAGUGGCAGCAUCAUAGCCAAUGAAGUUUAUCUAAGGCAUGAUUAUUGCUAAUUGAAAACUUUUCCCAAUACGCCACUAUGAUGACUUGAAAUAUAGUUGGCAUUGGCAAUUUUUGACAGUUUCUAUGAAG